rnacentral:lncRNA from 1 species
GUAACAUCCCGGACCUAAUUUUACCCUUUUUACUGGGUAUUUGACGAGUUAAUGAGGAAUUUAACCGUGCUUGUAAUUUGGUAAUUUAUCACUCGAGUUUAUUGUCGAGUUUUACUCAAAAUGUUAAAUUCCUCUUUUAAGGGCUCGAUUGUAGUAUGUGUCGACAUGGGUUCAGCGGUGCCUAUAGAUGAUUUAUCAGAGGUUUGGUUAAGUAUAGAAUUAUAUUUUCGGAAGCAAAUAACGUUUAAUCCAGGCUGUUAUAUCUAUUAGGGCUUUGAUCUGGGCCGUAGAAUUUAAGCUUAAAAGGGUAAAGUGGAGCUUGACCCAGUCAAAAACCCAACUCGGGUUUGACCGAGCCUAACCGUCUCCCUCUCUCUUCUCCCUCGUCUCCCUCUGUCGCUGCCUUCUCCAGCGCAGCUCCGCCGUCUCUGGCCACCCCUGGCGGCGAGCCACCGCCGUUCUCUCCCUCUCCUCCUCUCCUUCUGGCCCAGCCGUGGAUCGCAUGUCUGACCGAAAUCGGAGGGAGAUCGAAAGCAUGGAUACUUCACUGGUUGUGCUGAUUUCCGGCGAGCUCCGGCGGAGGACAGCGGCAUUGAAGGGUAUAUUCUUGUUCUCUUCACUUUCCUCUCCCUUUCUUUGUCAUUUAUUGUGCGAAUCGAACCCUAACCUAGAAACCCUUUCUUCUUUUUUCUGGGUUUCGAGCUCUUAGCUCCGGCGAUCGGCGUCCGAUGGUUUCCGGGCGAGUGCUCUGGGUUUUUGCUGAAGCCGAUAAGGCUUCAUGGUACCUCUUGUCUCCAUCCCGAUGACUUGCUGAGCUCCAAGAGGCCAAAUCGAUCGUGUGUGGAGGCUUGAGGUGUUGUUGCUGCUUAAUGGGAGGAACCACGAACCCGGAAUCCGACAAGAGAGCCACUGCCGGCAGGAGAAGCUUUGCUGUCAUCUGAAGGUAAUCUUCUUGCAUCUAGAGUUAUUGGGUUGCUGCUGUGUUGAUCAGGGUUUGAGAAAAUUUGGUGUAUGGCUGCUAAUGUGAAUGUUUUGGUUGUUGUUGUCGAUAACUUGGAAUUUGGAGUAUACGGGGAAGUUAUGGCGAAAUUCCGGCAAGUGGCCGGAAUCCGGCAGAAUAUUCCGGCAAGUCGUCGGAAUCCGGCGAAGGCAGUUAGUCCGACAAGAGCAAUUGAGGUAGUUAUCGAAGUUUUCCUUUUUAUUUUGCGUUGUUUCAUAAAUAGGAAAGUUUGUCGGUUUAUAAUCAGAAAUCUUUCUAAGUGAGGAAAGUUCCUAUUUUGGGAAACUUUCCCUUUUUGGAAACUUUCUAUUUAUGGAAACCCUUUUUGGGUGCCCUUAGUAAAUUUUAGGGUGAAGUUGUGUAGAGAGGAAAUGAAGGAAAUUCUUGGUUUU